AUUGAACGCUGGCGGCAUGCUUUACACAUGCAAGUCGAACGGUAACAGGCCUUCGGGUGCUGACGAGUGGCGCACGGGUGAGUAAUGCAUCGGAACGUGCCCAGAGGUGGGGGAUAACGCAGCGAAAGCUGUGCUAAUACCGCAUGUGAUCUGAGGAUGAAAGCGGGGGACCAGGCAGCAAUGUUUGGCCUCGCGCCUUUGGAGCGGCCGAUGUCAGAUUAGGUAGUUGGUGGGGUAAAGGCCUACCAAGCCGACGAUCUGUAGCUGGUCUGAGAGGACGACCCGCCACACUGGGACUGAGACACGGCCCAGACUCCUACGGGAGGCAGCAGUGGGGAAUUUUGGACAAUGGGCGCAAGCCUGAUCCAGCAAUGCCGCGUGCGGGAAGAAGGCCUUCGGGUUGUAAACCGCUUUUGUACGGAACGAAAAGGCUCUGGCUAAUACCUGGGGCUGAUGACGGUACCGUAAGAAUAAGCACCGGCUAACUACGUG
rnacentral:rRNA from 1 species